UGUGUUUGUGAAUUUUUUAGACGAUUGGAUUUUAUUUUGAAACUGAUUGGAUUGAUUUUUGUGGGUUCUAGAGUUGACUUUUCAUUCUUGAACCUUCUUUGAUGGCUUUGGCUCACAAGUACAAUCAGGAGAAGAUGAUUUGCAGAAAUGUGCAAAUCAUGUCGUAUAGCAAAGCUGAGCUCACUUAUUAUACAGAAUCCCCAGAUUCACGAAAUUAGGUAUUUCAGGU
rnacentral:lncRNA from 1 species